CCUGGACGAAUUGCUGCGCCAUCUUGAGUUUGAGGCGGACGACGAAGGGAGGGAGGAGCGACUCGGCGUCUUUGCGCUUUGUUCGUCUGAAUGCCACGAAAUGGAACAGACACAACCAGAAAAAGAGACACUGACCAUACAGAACGAGUCUGCUGGGUGGCCUUUUAAAGCACCGUUUUCACAGACGAAAAGAAAAAAGGUAAGUGAAGGGGGGAAGGGUAAAAAACAACUCCUAACUUAGCUUUUGUAAGGGGAGCACAGUAUGGACUUGAAGGGUUAAAAAAAAAAACAACAAAGAGGCACACAUUAAUACACAACACACCAACAAGCACAUGUGGAGGUGUGGUGGGCAAGUGUUGGGGGGAACAUUUCAGCCCAAUCAACCAGAAUGAAUGAAUUCACGAAAGACCCCAGUUUGGGGAAAAAUGCACCGCAUUGGAUUUUUAUUUUCCACUAUUUAGCAAGUCAAGCAUUAGUGCAUUUGAUGUGAUAUUUGUACACCCAUUACGCUUAACAGAUGAUGCGAUAUGAUGAUGUACUUCCCUUUAGUGACACGAGUCAUAAUAUGAGGUAUGCACAAUGGGCACCAACCCCCUCCCAGGCAGUGAGUUGCAUCUUCACUAUCUGCUCGUAGCAGCCCCCCAAUGCAAGAGAUUAGGGCGGCGUGUUUUGGUGUGUCACAGCCUCAGGCUGGGUGUGGAAAGACCUCUGUGAAUCCGACAGAUUAACAUGGAUCUUCACCCCACCCAACCCCGGGACAAGUCACAAGCACAUGUGUAUUUCCAUCACUUAAAGGGAUUUGACUUGCAUUGACUGAAGACUUCUAGAACACAAUCACAUUCCCUGUCAUAUUCGAGCAUUUGGGGACUUGCUCUGUUUUCAAAACCCGUGUUGUUGAACAAGUUGAUAUUGGCAACAUGUGUCAUGAUGUGUGUUAAAAAGAAAAACACGCACACUCAUGAGUUAAUAAAGCCAGUUGAAACACUGGGUAAUGGGCACAAAUCUCAAGUCGUUUUAUCUACAUUGGCAGAGCCAUCAAACAUUUUUUUUAAUACAUGCUAAUACAGAAUACCGUGUGUUUAAUUCCAGGCGUCUUCCUGUUUGUAUCACAGGUUACCUGAUGUACAAACAAUUAAACGUGUCUCAUUGAUUUGAGAAUGUUUUUAUUGACAGGAUACCCAACGGUGUCCUCCAAUAGAAGCUUUGACUCACUCUUUGUUCAAGUGCAGACAAUAUUUUGUUUGUUUAUGUGGAGGACGGCGUGAGUCACUUGUGUUCAUCAAAUGUAGUUGGCCGUAUUUCUCUCCAGUGCCACGUAUCUCCGAAUGAUAUUGUUCAGAUGUGCAAAGUUAGCCCUUGCUUAGGAAAAUGAGAUUUGUCAAUUUUGCUAGUCAAAUAGAAGUAGGAAGGCCACUCCUGAAAUUCUUGCCAAGUUCUUCUUUUAAAACAUGCAACAGUGCAAGUUCUCAGCUGUGCUGUAAAAUGAGUAAUUGUAUACAGGAAUGCGAAUGAUGGUUGUUGCGUCAGGCUAACAGUCAACUUUUGUCAUGCUUACCGUCUGAAGUUAAAAAAAAA